rnacentral:rRNA from 1 species
AUGCCAUAUUUUCCAACACAUCUUAUCAUAUAUAUAGUGCAAUUAAUGCUAUAUUUUCUGGAAACAUCAAAACGGAUGAAAGAUGAAGAUGUCUAUGAUUGCAUUGAUGUGAAUGAGCAACCGACUUUCAGGCACCCAUUAUUGAAAGACCACAAAGUCCAGAGGGAGUACAUUUGUAAUAUUUUUUUAUAA